UACGGAGGGUGCAAGCGUUAUCCGGAAUCACUUGGCGUAAAGGGUGCGUAGGCGGGUCUUUACGUCAGGGGUGAAAUCCUGGAGCUCAACUCCAGAACUGCCUUUGAUACUGAAGAUCUUGAGUUCGGGAGAGGUGAGUGGAACUGCGAGUGUAGAGGUGAAAUUCGUAGAUAUUCGCAAGAACACCAGUGGCGAAGGCGGCUCACUGGCCCGAUACUGACGCUGAGGCACGAAAGCGUGGGGAGCAAACAGG
rnacentral:rRNA from 1 species